rnacentral:rRNA from 1 species
UACGGAGGGAGCUAGCGUUGUUCGGAAUUACUGGGCGUAAAGCGCACGUAGGCGGCUUUGUAAGUUAGGGGUGAAAGCCUGGAGCUCAACUUCAGAAUUGCCCUUAAGACUGCAUCGCUUGAAUCCAGGAGAGGUGAGUGGAAUUCCGAGUGUAGAGGUGAAAUUCGUAGAUAUUCGCAAGAACACCAGUGGCGAAGGCGGCUCACUGGCCCGAUACUGACGCUGAGGCACGAAAGCGUGGGGAGCAAACAGG